GGUGUAGCUCAAUGGUAGAACCUAUGCUUUGCAUGCAGAAGGUCCCAGGUUUGGUUCCCGGCAUCGCUA